UGCUUUGAAGAAUGACACGCAUGCGUCCUGGUGGGGUUCUUCAUGUAUUCCCUCAACGUUACUCCUCAUAAAAUAAAGAUCAAACUUCAAACUGGGACAUCAAGAAGGAUGCCAGAUACAAACUAUUUCUUCUAAUUGGGUGGUGCUCCAUUAUGCUCCACUAUUGAAGUUCUUCAAGUGUCAUAUCAAUGUUGAAAUAUGCUCCUCUGUAAAGUCAAUCAAAUGUCAUCAAGUACAUGUUGAAGGGGAGUGAUCAACCAUUUUUUGGAGUUAGCAGAGCUGAUGAAAUUACAUAGUACUUGACUGGCAGAUACAUUGGUCCAUCAGAAGUAGUGGGAUCAAUCCUUGGAUUUCCAAUUCAUGACUGAGACCCCGUUGUCAUUUGACUCCAGGUACAUCUACCACAAGAACAAGAGUCUUUAUCAGUCAAUGCUGUUCAGCAGGUGGACGAUAAUGAUAUGGAUAGAAAUUUCAAAUUUGCGUGCGCAUUUGGGGGAGUGUUUCCGUGGAGGACUGGCACCCGCCCUGGCAUGCCCUGAGCCUGCCCUUCCUCCCAUGGUGCAUUGUGGCAUCAGAGAGAAAGUCAAAGAAGAUGACCGCCUGAUCCGUGCAAGCGCAGUUGGCGUUCCCCCGCACCUGACCUUAUUCCUGUGGUGCAGCGCGGUGAAGAGAUGGAAUUUGAAAUAAAUGAAUGUCUCGAGGAUCUCCAAGAAAGAAUGUUCACCAUAAACAGCCAAAACUUUAAAGAGGAGGGAGCAAACGAAUUGCAGGAUGAUCAAGGAACAACGCAAAGUGACAUCGAGAAUAAGUAGGGAGCAGAAGGGAACAAGACACAUAACAAGAAAGAACUGAACGUCUAGAGAAUUUCUGAGAAAGACCACAACACAGAAUGAAUGAAGAGAAGGAAUAGGAAAGAACUGAAUGUAUCCAAGAUCUCAGAGAAAGAUUGCAAGACAGAAGGAAUGAAGAGACAACAAGAAAGAACUCAACGUCUCGAGGAUCUCUGAGAAAGAGCACAAGACAGAAGGAAUGAAGGGACGCAACAAGAAAGAUCUGAAUGUCUUGAGGAUUUCCGAGAAAGAACGCAAGACAGAAGGAAUGAAGAGACGGGAGAUGAAAGCACUAGAAGACUGGCUGAACAGCGGGCCAGAGAUACAACAAGAUGAAAUGCAUGACUCGCAAGGAGGAAUCUUUCUGCUGAUGUUGGUGAAAUGUCCAAGGUUUACCCUCAGUAUCGAGCGUACCAUUUCUCAGGAGAAACUGGCAACUUUUGCCGCACGAAGGGUAAGGUGAACAUUACUCCUCUGCGAGCACUCCCUGAUGACCUCAUGAAUUUGUAUACAAGUGACACACCACAAUCAAACAAGUUCAGAAAGAAUAUUAGACAAUACAACUGACGUUAUUCGUCAUUCUUUCAACUGAUGUCAUUCGAUGCCAAGGCAUGGAUGGAAUUCUUCAAUGAUCAUACAAGGACAGAUUCAUCAUUACCUUGGCUUGUUGAUGUCUGACCGACCAGCAAAGUCAAUUCUUGCAGAUCUAUUGCUUGGACCCCCAAGAUAGCAUUUAAUUGCGAAUGGGUAUACUGCGAAAUGCUGGUAUUCAAAGGGAAACUGUUCAAAUGCUAAGACAAAACAACCGUUACAUUACUUCACUUGAAAUGGCAAAGGAAAGAAUUAUUGUAUUGUAUUGUAUUCAAAUUUAUUGUCAUUGUCUCAAUUAGAGACAACAACAUGAAUUUUCCUUACAGGCAGUAGCAUAAAAAUAAAUAAAUAAUAAAUAAUAAAACAUAUUAAAAAUAAAAUUGAAUUAAAAAAAGAAAAGCACAAACACAGAAAGUCCACGACACAACAUAACACAGUGGCACCAAGGUGAGGAAGGCACCAUAGUCCAGCCAGCCUCCCGCCCGAUCUUCCCAGAUGUUCAUCCGUGGUCUGGGCCUUCCGAGCACACGCAGUCGCCGCACCGGGCGGCCCGAUGUUCAGGCCCUCACGCCGGGCUGGUGGAAUGCCGACGCCGAUCCCCGACGGUGAAUAUCCUCCUCCUCAGCGGCCGGACCUCCUGAUCAGCCUCCUCCCGCAGCCGGAGUCCGCAGCUCCCGAUUCCGCAGGCCUAGCCGGGCGGAGUCGCAGGACCCCGCGUUGUUGAUCAACACUGCCCGCGUUGGGAGCUCCGCAAACCGCAGCUCCAUGAUGUCGGUGCAGCAGGUCCAGCACUCCGGGCUCCAGACGGCGAUCCCCGGUAAGGCAUCGCCAGCCCCGCGAUGUCACAGCGCUGUCCCGCCGCGGCUGGAGCUAUGGUCGAUCCCGGCAGGAAAGGCCGCGCCAAUCCAGUAGGUAGGCUGCUGGGGGGGGUGAGGACGCGACUCGAAUAAUAGUCGCGUCCUCUCCAGGAAGCGACCGAACGGCGGUAUCCCCCUU